rnacentral:rRNA from 1 species
UACAGAGGUCCCAAGCGUUGUUCGGAUUCACUGGGCGUAAAGGGUGCGUAGGUGGUGAGGUAAGUCGGAUGUGAAAUCUCCGAGCUCAACUCGGAAAUGGCAUUGGAAACUACCUUGCUCGAGGGUCGGAGGGGGGGACUGGAAUUCUCGGUGUAGCAGUGAAAUGCGUAGAUAUCAAGAGGAACACCAGUGGCGAAGGCGAGUCCCUGGACAAACCCUGACACUGAGGCACGAAAGCCAAGGGAGCAAACAGG